AUAGGUCGAUAUCCAGUACAACGACAAAGAUUACCUGAAAUAUUUAUUUAAUUAUCAUUAUACAUAUAUGUAGUUAAAAAUUAUUAACAGUGUAGUCUAGUUGAUCACUUUCGAAAAUUCAAUUUUUUAUUUUUUACAUUUUUCGAAUAUAUAUGUAUCUAAGAAUUCUCGGGGAUGUGUUAACUGUUUCGGGCGAAGGCUCGUAGAUUGAAUUUUGGUAAGAUUUUUUAUUUAAAGAAUGGGCGACACAAUUUCUUCGGAACUUGUCGGCCGAUCCUUCUGAAAUUUCAACCACAUAUUCUACACAUAAAUACUCACAAAAUAGACUACCAUCAUAUUAAAAUAUUGAUUUUUAUCAUUUUUUUUUUUUUUUUUUUUUUUUUUUU